UCUCUUAACGCAACUCUUUGCAGUUUACACGGAUGUGGGCUCCAUUUUCUGGGAACCAGACUCAAAGGGCAGGACUGGCUUCCAGACGUGCAACACGCGCAUGUGCGUCACACAGGGACAGCGAUGCGGACCCUGAACUUUUACUUGGGGGGCUACGCAAGCCGGUCAAGGUAAGAAUGCCUCUUCUGGGAAUGCUGGCCACAGGAAGGCACCUCCUCUUCAGACCACGGCUCGUUUCCUUUGGUGUGUCCAGCUAUCCCCUGUGAAGACUUGCUUCCUCCUCACUCUGCAGAGACCUGCUUUUUCAUCAUGACGUUGCAGGCAUUACGGGUUAGACUUGGGGUGGACCGGACCAUACAGGAAGGAAACCAGAGCGUGCCCAAGACUUCAACGGAGGCAUACCAGCAGUUCCUCCUGGGUUCAUGCUGGGGCUCUGAGGGAAAGGACAGCCCUGGCCCCUGACACCAGUCCAUUGCUGGCCUUGGCAAGCAUGACGCUGGCAGAGAACGUAUCCAGCACUCCACCCACAGGACUCCAAGGGGCCUUUAGUCUAGCCCCCCCCAACAGAAGCAGACUGUCCUGAAACAGAAAGAGUGAGGAGGAAAACCUCACCAUAGGAAUGGGGAAAUAGAGACUGCCCUGUGGCAUGGGAGCCUAAGGUUUUACAGGGUUGGAAUGAGGGAAGGGCAUGUCGCGGCAGAGACCUCCCAAACUGCCCCGUUCAAGCAGUGCUAGUUCCCCGGCGCUGGGACAGAUGCUCCACCCACUUGCCGAUUCUCCAAGAGCUCAGGGCACCAAGGAAGUGGGGUAACCAAAUUUUCACACUGCCCAGCAACUGCCUUUACUGCGAUCGAUUGCUUCCUCUCACCCGAGACUGAGGCCCCAGCACGAGCGUCCCAACCGUGGCCUGCCUGCCUGCCUGCCUGCCUGUACAAUGAGCUUUCUUCUCCAGAACUGACUCAGUUUUCCAGAAACUCCCACAAUGAGAUUUCAUCUCUGCACCCGUCGUUGGCUAAGGAGGACCCCUGCUGCAGCAUCAGGAACCAGGGGUCCUCUUUCCCAGAAGCCAAAGAGAACUAUGGAGCCUGUGACAAAAUAAAAUAAAAUAAAAUAAAAUAAAAAAUCAGCAAUGUGAGGAU